rnacentral:rRNA from 1 species
UACGUAGGGAGCGAGCGUUAUCCGGAUUUAUUGGGUGUAAAGGGUGCGCAGACGGGAAAAUAAGUUAGUUGUGAAAUCCCUCGGCUUAACUGAGGAACUGCAACUAAAACUAUUAUUCUUGAGUGCAGGAGGGGAAAGUGGAAUUCCUAGUGUAGCGGUGAAAUGCGUAGAUAUUAGGAAGAACACCAGUGGCGAAGGCGACUUUCUGGACUGUAACUGACGUUGAGGCUCGAAAGCGUGGGGAGCAA